UACGUAGGGGGCAAGCGUUGUCCGGAGUUACUGGGCGUAAAGCGCACGCAGGCGGUCUCUUUAAGUUUGGAGUGACAGUUGGUGGCUUAACUGCCAAAAGUGCUUCGAAAACUGAGAGACUUGAGGGGCUUCAGAGGGACACGGAAUUCCGGGUGGAGUGGUGAAAUGCGUAGAUAUCUGGAAGAACACCAAUGGCGAAGGCACCAUCCUGGGAAGCAUCGUGACGCUCAGGUGCGAAAGCUAGGGGAGCGAACGGGG
rnacentral:rRNA from 1 species